AUUGAACGCUGGCGGCAGGCCUAACACAUGCCAGUCGAGCGGAUGAAGGGAGCUUGCUCCUGGAUUCAGCGGCGGACGGGUGAGUAAUGCCUAGGAAUCUGCCUGGUAGUGGGGGAUAACGUCCGGAAACGGGCGCUAAUACCGCAUACGUCCUGAGGGAGAAAGGGGGGGAUCUUCGGACCUCACGCUAUCAGAUGAGCCUAGGUCGGAUUAGCUAGUUGGUUGGGUAAAGGCCUACCAAGGCGACGAUCCGUAGCUGGUCUGAGAGGAUGAUCAGUCACACUGGAACUGAGACACGGUCCAGACUCCUACGGGAGGCAGCAGUGGGGAAUAUUGGACAAUGGGCGAAAGCCUGAUCCAGCCAUGCCGCGUGUGUGAAGAAGGUCUUCGGAUUGUAAAGCACUUUAAGUUGGGAGGAAGGGCAGUAAGUUAAUACCUUGCUGUUUUGACGUUACCAACAGAAUAAGCACCGGCUAACUUCGUG
rnacentral:rRNA from 1 species